rnacentral:rRNA from 1 species
AGAGUUUGAUCCUGGCUCAGGACGAACGCUGGCGGCGUGCUUAAUACAUGCAAGUCGAGCGGGCACCAUCCGGUGGCAACACUGGUGAAGUGCUAGCGGCGAACGGGUGAGUAACACGUGAGCAACCUGCCCCCAAGUCUGGGAUAAGCCUGGGAAACCGGGUCUAAUACCGGAUGCCCUCGUCAGGCCGCAUGACAUGA